rnacentral:lncRNA from 1 species
AAUAGGCAAUAUGUUUUGGUGUGUUUCGGCAUUUUUUCUGCCUCUUGUUUGAUUCGACCUGCUGGAUAAUUUGAUCAACUUCAACGGUCUCGUCAGGGUCGAAUUAACGGAAGUAGACUACAUUAUCAUCUUGGACAAUAUGGUUCACACUGAAAAUUCUGCAUGCUGAAAAAUUUGGGUGCUAUUAGCUUUCACCAAGCUUCGAUUCUUGUAAAUUCAUGUAAAGUAAGCCGCAAGCAAGUCCUGCUGCACUUUUUUCUUGCAUAUUACAAAAUAGUUUGUACAAGCCCGUGUGGCAUCUUGGAAGAAAAGAAAUACAGGCAUCCUCCGGAACUUCCCCAGGCUUUGAAAAAGAGACCUGAUCC